AUUGCUUUAACUUUGCUUUACUUUCCCAGGCCCAGAAAGGAUAGACAGGCUUUUUGCAUUUUCUGCACUGAUUUGGGUGGAAAACCUUGUUAAACAGAGCUGAGAUUACUAUGAACUUUGUUGGUAGCUGAAAUAAUCAUCCUCAAAUGAGCGUUGUUAAAUAAAAGUGGUUUGAGUGAUGAGUGUUUGAAAACUCUGCACACAUUCUUGUUCAACACCCUAUUACUGAAUAUACCUCUAAUAACAAAUAACUUUGAGAAUGUUUCAGGCUUUACACUCGAUGUAACCAAUCUUUGCACAAGCGAUACGUGCAUUUUAGCCCCACACAAAUGCUCAGUUUUUGUUGUUGGGGAUUGUAGAAAGUCAACACGUCGCUUCCAGGAACAGAUCCUUUGAGCUGAGCUCUUCACACAGUCCUGCCUCUGACCACAGAAGGACACAAGGAACGCAUCCCCCACGUGAAAUCAAAGGAUACAGAACUUACAUAUAAACAGACACUUAUGAUUGCUAGAAGAUAAAAUGUGCAAAUUAAGUACUCCCCCAAACUUUGAUGUCUUCAUAUGCACCGUUCAAGAACUUGACCUGAUUUCAGUUGACGUGCUGACUCAUCACUGGAAGAAGCUUUUGGAAAAAAUCACCAAUGUUCCUGACUGUUGGUUUUAAUGUGUUAAAAACACCCAUUUGGUCACAUCUGAUGCUCUCAUCAUGUCUUGUCUGUUUCAAGGUGGAGAUCUGGUUUUCAUGUAUUAGUUUGAUUCUUUGAGGAGGUUUCUUUCUCUACCUUCAGUAUGUCAGUCAGGGAAAGUCCUGGUGUAUAGUUCUGAUGCUGUCUGUAUUUUCGGUUUGUGCUUCCUAACCCUUGUGUCUGCUGAGAUCUUGAUGCGUUGGGAAACUGAGCUUCACACAAAUAUAUGCUGUGUCUCAUCCUUGGCCUUCGGCCUUCUACUUUUGUCAACUGUUCAAAUAAAACAUAAAUUGUGGCAAAGCUUUAUUCCUAUAGCAGAUUCAAGUCCAAAGCCUUUCAAACGAGGCUGUUCAGUGUAGUCCUUUCCAUCGCAUGUUGCCCCCUCUCUUGAGGAAUGUGCAGCGUAACCACGAGCAAACAUGAAAUAAAAAGAAACCGAUCCUUGCAAUUCCUUAGCAUGUAUUGUAAGCUAACCCAAGUAGGUUGAAUUUCAAAAUUGCUUUUCUUUGUGUGUUAUUCCACAUUUCUGCCAUAGUUCUUAUGAUCUCAGUCUGGCUGUUCUGCAUGCACUUGUGGCUCAGUUGGCUGCCUGUUCGUCCAGUGUGCACUUUCUAGGUCACAUGGCUUCAUUGUUUGUCUUGUAAAGGCUGUCUCAUCACUUGUAGGAAAAGAGCUUCUCCACACAGGUUUGGUCGUUGCUUUUAAACAUGCAAUCAAAUGUGGUAUUUUCUUUGUUAAUAUCAUAAUACAGUUUAAGAUUUGUUACAGGGACUGCAAUCUAGGGUUGGAUUGGAUGAUCAUAGCCAGAAUGUAUUUGGAAAGUGCCCAUACUUUGUGCAUAGCCUGGCACUGAUCUUUUGUUGGUAGAGGUUAC
ensembl:lncRNA